UUACCUUUUUCAUUUCUCUUUCCAAAUCCGUCUCGAAAUGCCCCAACCAAACACAACAUUGGGUUCCAAUUAGUGCCCACCAUCCAGUUCCCAUGCAUAAUAAGCAACAAAGGCAUCAAUUUGACUUUGAAGUCUUGGCGAAGAGAAGCUGGAAUCUAACCGUUGUUACAGAUAACAUCAGGGGACUGAUCUGCCUUUGAAAUUCCAAAAUACCGAAUUCAAUGUUCUUAAUAAUUGUAGCAGUUGUAAUAGAAAUUGAGCUUCUAUACUUAUUGGAUUUCUCAUACAUAAUGUUCAUUUAUUACUUGAUGUGUUUCUUAUAAUUGUUUCACAAUGUUUCUAAACUAUUUUCCUGUGUCUUCCUCGUUUCUUUUUUUCUUCACAGCCAACCUGUUGUCCUUGUGGGGACGAGCGUAGGGUUCCGUCAUCAUGUGGAAACUUCUAUGAUGAAGGGGAAGGCCAACACUGCACACUGUCUCCGAUUUCCAGGUGAUUGGUUCCAUGUUUUUGGUAUUGGACAGCGCUCAGUGGGAUUUACCAUUCGGAUUGAGGUGAAGACAACAUCUAAAAUAUCGUUAAUCAGGAAAAUGCUUUUGGAGAUUUUUGCUUACAGGACGUGAUUGUGGGCCCUGGGAAUAGAACAGUAACAUCCAAUGAUAAUUUCUUACGAGCAAAUCUUAUUGGAGAUUAUGUUGGAUACACAAACGUUCCUACAUUUGAGGAUUACUACCUUGUUAUUCCAAGGCAGGGUGGCCCAGGUCAACCAUAAAAUCUGGGAAGGAACUUUUCUAUGUGGAUGCCGAUUGAGAGAGUUAGAUUUACUUUAGAUGGUCUUGAAUGUAACAAAAUUGGUGUGGGUUAUGACGCUUUCAAUGGGCAGCCGGAUUUCUGCUCAUCCCCAUUUUGGAGUUGCUUGCAUAAUCAGUUGUGGAACUUCUGGGAGGCUGAUAUGAACCGAAUCAGUAGGAAACAGUCACCACUUUAUGUUGUGCAAGAGAGGUUUGAAAGGAUAAACCAGCAUCCAAAUUCAGGGAGUCAUUCAUUCUCCAUAGGAAUAACUGAAGUUCUUAAUACAAACCUCUUGAUAGAACUAAGUGCUGAUGACAUAGAAUAUGUCAACCAAAGGUGAUCAGGCGCGUGACCAAGCUUAAAGGCAUCUGUUUGGAAUCUGUUUUUGUUAGCUAACCUAUGUACCUCCCGUGAAGGUUCCGAAUAUGUCAAGUGGUUAUGGCUACGCGAUUUAAAGUUUAAGUUUUGUUUUCUUGUUUGGUUAAACAAGCCUUUGUGUAUUUUGUAAAUAGGGUUAAAUCCCUUUUUGUCUAAUCUGCAUAUAUAUGAUGACGUAAGAACGAUGUGUAUAUAUGUAUAUAAAAGUUUAAAAACUUUCUGUCCCAAACAAGUCUGCACAGUUCAAUGGACAUUAUA